AAACAGGGGUGCCGCAAGGCUGAGAUGCAUAUGGACCGCUCCGAUAGACUGAGUCAAAACUUAGACUCACCGCUGCUGUCCGGGCAAACCCUCGAACCUGAAAUGGAUAAUACCAGCGUAGGGAGUUUU
rnacentral:ncRNA from 1 species